CUCCUCACAAACAAGACCCAACCCAGCCACACCCCCCAUUCUCGCCUCUCUCGGCUCUGACGAAAAACAAGUGGCCACCACUCUCCGGUGGUGGCACACGGUGAAGAUGAGCCCUCCGGUGGCCGAUGAUGACAAUCCGGUAGCGCCGGUGGUUCUCUCCGACGAGCAAGACCCCCUUUUCUGCGAAGUUUGAUCGGUGGCCAGACCGACCGACCGGCGGUCAGUUCAUUUAACCGGCGGUCGGUUUAUAGACCCGGUGGUCUUUGUCUUUGACCGACGGUUUUAUGAAUGAUGGUGCGAUGACGAGAAUGGAGAGAGACGGAGAAGAGAGGAACUCGAAGAGAGAGAGAGAUCGGUAGACGGAAUGGCGUCGGAAAACGGCAGCGGCGCCGCCGCAGGCGGCGGCGGCAGCGGCGACCAGUUUUUCUUCUCCGGUGAGCGGCAGACUACGGUCAGAACGCGAUUUCGAUUGGGAUUCAGCUUCGGUACAAGUUCGGUGCGGCUCGGGUUCGGUGUUCGGGUUAAUGUUUGGCUCAAUUCGGUUUGACUCGGUCAAACCGAGUCAACUCAGUCGGUUCAAGUCAGCCGGUUCGGGUCAAACGGCUUGGUCAGAUGGUUCGGUUCGGUUGACUCGGUCGAACCGAGUCAACUCGGUCAAGCCUGGUCAACACAGCGAGUUGACUCGGUCAACUCAGCCAACUAUUUUUUCGGCGUUUCGACACGAAGAUUCGGUAAACGAUUUAGGAUGAACAUUAUUUACGUUAAUUAGUUUUUAUAUUAUUACCGUGAAAACGAGCUCGAACCGAAUAAACGACGAAUUAUUAGUUAGAAUUACGUAGAUUUACUAAUUAUUUUGUUUAUAUAAAUUGAUUAUACGCAAA